CAAGAGAGGAGAACCGACAACAAUUGUACAGGUUAAAUAUCCCCGGUGGCCGGCACAGAAGCUGCCCGUACAGGUUAGAUCCUAACGCGUUAUAACAGGAACGUACAAAAGUGCACAGUAUAUUUUGUCCUCGGUAAAGAUGGCAACUACCAGAGGCCAAAUAGGCGUGCGAUCAAAGACGAGACAGGUGAGAACUUUUCUUGUGCGAUGCGCCGCCACAACGACGGAGAAAAAGGACAUCUGAAUACAAAAAAUCUACGGCUACUAUACUAGUACUAGUACCUAACUACCAGUAACCAGAACUAUAUUUCUGUGCGCCACGGCCUAGCUUCCACCUUGCCCAGGACUCCACUUUUUCUCACUUCUUACGAGGGCGUAAGACCCUUCCAGAUGGCAUCGGUACAGUAGUAGUUUUCUUGCGCUUGAUGCCAGGUGAUGUCUUCUCAGUUACUUGCACCUUCACCCUCUCCUUUACUGCAGUGGUGAAAUCAAUACCAUCCCCAUAAGAAAUGUUAACAACAGAAGUGUAGUCAAUGAGCUAGAGCUGUGAACCAAGUUUAAACUGCAACCAAUGUAUUGCUGUUAUUGCAUAACUCAUUCUUAUAGAAACAUAGAAUUACUAGUACUAUAUUCAUUCUGAACUUGAAUCAAAUAUACAAGAAUAUACAAGAAAUCCAGAAACAACUAGCUCUUUGAAAAGGCACAUGCACAUCAUGGAUCCCUUUUUUUUAUUUGGAUGGAAGCCACUAAGGUUGAGAACAGAGCCAAUUCAGAUGCUACAUCUGGCUAAAUACUAUUUGUAUGUGUACGCGUAUUGCCUCUUCCUUUGCUUAGUGCACUAGCACUGGAGCGCCAUUGUUGAUGCGCUUUGUCAAAUCUCUAUAGCUACUUGCCUUAAAAAUACUCUUCUUACUAGCCUCAAAGAGCACAUGCUUCUAACAAUCAUGUGAAUCAAUCAAAGUACAUUCUAACAACUAUGGAAUUACCAUUAAGAUAAGGUUACUAUCAUGUUAAGCGUAAUCAAAGAAAAUAAGAAAUACAUAUUAGCUUUCACCUCAAACUUUUUACCUGCUGUAAGGCAAUAAAAUCCUAGAGGCAGGCUUAGAGUGUGCUCCUGGCACUUGAUGGGGUCAUAAACCUUUAACUGAAACAUCAUAUCACAAUUGUUAACCUUUCUUAAGUUCACAUUCUGAUAUUGCAUAUAACUUCAAAUAUACCUUCAGAACAAUCUUGGAUGAUUUAUUUUUCCUCUCCAGAAACUUCCAGCCAAGAGAAAGCAAAUACUCCUCCAACUGGGAACAGAUUUUGAACACAAUAAGAACAGAUAUAUUUUCAAGUAUAUAUAACAAAACUAGAUAUAUUCUCAGUUUUUCACCUCUGGCAUAGUCUUAGAGCACACCCCGUUAACUGAAACAAUCACAUCCCCACGCCUAAUCCCAAUAAUUUCUGCAGUGGAGUUGAUUGCUACCUAAAAAAAUAAAAUGAGUUACAAUAUCGACAACGCAUAUAGUUGAAUAGAUUGCAUACAAGUUAUUGAAUAGAUUCAUACCUCAUCGACGAUGUAACCACUAUCAAUAUUAUGUUGAUACAAGAUUUCUUCCCUCUUAUGCAUGUCCAGAAACUGCACCGCUCUCAGACACAAAUGAUGUUCUGGACGAGCUAUACAACUAAAAACAGUUCACAUUUAAUCAAUAAUCAAAUAUAGAAUUAAACUAUAUAUCUAUUAAAAUUCUAUACAUGCCAUUUUUAACAGCAAAGAUAACUUAAAUAGGAGUAAAAAUUUCAUCAACAAAAUUGUUGACUAAUAUGUCGUUACUCAUAUUUCCAUGAACCCCUUAUAUUGCUAAUUUACUCUUUGCUUGAUUAAUUCAGCCCUCAUCUAAUCUCUACUAUGUGAAUUCUACGCCAAACCACAGGCAUCAGAUAGGGCCAAGUUGCCAUUAGCCCGCUAACCAUUAGAUCUAACAAAAUGCGAUAUGGACCAUUCGAUCAGACUGUAAUUGGUUUUCACCCAUGAAGCCACGAACUUGCUCGGCAAACAACUCAUUCCCUUGGCAGCGUGUCUCCUGUCUCCAUCCUCCUGCUGUCCUCAGCCAUCCCCGCAUGCACAGCCAGAGCAGGCUACGACAGCAGCACUGGCACACAGUGGGUCAUCGACACCGGCCCGCCGCAAUGGCCUAGGAUGGUGUACCAUGCCACCCCCCCCCCCCCUCCCCUGGCCCCGAACUCACCUCCCCUUCCAUCGCCGCUGCCCCUCAUCGGCACCCUCAACAGCAACAUGGUGUUGCCACCAGAGACGUCAAGUUCAGCAGCCAGUGCAGCGAGCGCAAAGUUCUCCACAUGGGCACCGUUAGCCAGCACCUCUGUUUUCCUGCUUGAUUGUGUGCUUUUCAUUAUUUAAAAGUGACUUCUUCCUGAUAAGUAACAAUCUUAUCCUAUUUCCACAAACCUCACUUCAGGGACAGGUAAAGAAAGUGUGCAAUAACAGAACCAUGUGGGAGUGCAAAAUUGAAGUAUCCUUGCUCUGUCUUAAAAUGUAUCCUAGUGUCCUGGUUAUCAUAUUCCCUAGCUUGACACAACUUAAAAUUUCAAGUGUCAAAAGAGUUGCUCACUGCUUUGAAUAAUUGAAUCUAUGAAUAUUAGCAGCAACUUGACCUUAUUUAACUACUGCUUGACAAACACUGUGCAAUGUCCUCUAUAGGUAGGGAAGAUAAUUAUAUUAGUUCUCGUAUAGUCAAUGCUCUGCAGGCUGCAAUGCUUAUGUUUGCCAAUAACAAGGUAAAGUAAAUGUGGCGUAUUUUAGUUUGAAUGCGCAAUUCUAAAGUUUUGAUUAUGAUAUAAUCUGAAACUCUGAACUUCGUUGCUGAAAUUGGUGGCCUGCUGAUGCUCCAUCAUGGGCCGUUCCAUGAAGCGGCUCAGGUACCCGAUGGCGAACGCCAAGUCCGGCCAGGUGUGCACGAGGUACCGCAGGCUGCCGAUGAGCCGCCGGUACUGCGUAGGAUCCACCUCCUCCGCUGUGCUCUCACGGCUGAGCUUCAGCUUCUCUUCUAUCAGUGUGGCGGCUGGGUUACAGUCCUCCAUCUUCCCCAGCUGGAGGAUGCGCUGCGCGUAGUGAGCUUGGUGGAGGGUGAUGCCCUUGGCAUCUGUAGAAGCAGAGGAGGCCGAGGUCACUCAUCUCGAACUGAUCGUAGAACGCGUUGUAGAGCAGCGGCCGCGAUCACCGCGGCUGCUACCUCGGCCACGGCGAGACAAGCCCCAUGGCUGCCGGGAUCGAUGGCCUUGCCGUCGCUCUUCAGCAAGCUCUCGCUCUUGCUCCCGGCGGCUGCGGCGGCCAGAUGCGCUCUCUCAUCGGAGUUGGAAGACAUGGUGGUGGCGGAGGCUGGGAAGGGGCUUUGCUAACCCUAGGCUUCGGAUACCGAUCGUUGCCCAAACAUCACAAGCAAAGGUAGAGAUGAAUCCUAGAGGUCAGCUUGAUCUAUGGGCUACUUGGAUUGAAUCUGAAAGUUGCAAAGCCUGAAUUUACAAAGAAAUGACUGCUGCUUAUAUAGAGCAGAGCCUCUACCAACUACUCAACAUAUUCUUUCAUAAAGCAAGAUGAUUAGACUACUUGAUUGCCAACGCUUCUCAUUAUCAACUUGAAUGAGAGCCAAAGAACCUCUAGUGCAUAAAGGUAAAGUUGCACGAAAGUAAAAUACCUGAAGUUCCUUUCCAUUUCAACUAAUUUUCUGAUAAUAGAGCUUGGAAGAACGGCAGUUUUUGACCAAUCAACAAAAAAAGCCAAUCCAGCAAUAUCACCAUCUCGAUCAAUUACUAAUCCAAAUGUGCUAACCUGCAUUAAACAUGUACAAAUAAUUUAAUAGAGCAAUAAAGUAAGAUGCAACAUUUGAAUACACGCAAUUUAGUUAAUACCUCAGGAAGCACACAGCUCACAUACAAAUAAUAAUUGCGGUCCACACAAGUUUCAUUAUAACACAUGACCCUCCCUGACGUCGUCAAUAGCGAAGAAUCUUCAUCUCUCGCCAUUACAAAUACCUUGUCUCCGUAAUCUGGACUUGACACAAAAGAAGGGCAUCGCAAUGGCAUAUCAACUGAGAUCUCCAAAACAGCAAUGCCAUAGUAGCGAUCAAAAAACAAAAGCUCUCCAUUCUUAAUUGUCAUAUUUGGCAAACGAACAAGUAGCUGAAAAAAAGAGUAAGUUAGAAAGACAAAUUAUAUGAAGCGAUAAGAUUACAGUUAAGACAUCAUUUCAUCAAAUAACGCAUCGCAUAUAAACAAGGAAAAAAACCAAAAGUACUCAACCCUUGGCUCCAACGUGAUCAUGUUGCAAAUGCAUGAAAUGUUCCACAUUUUUAAGUAUGUGAUCAUAUUGCAUUGGUGUUAUGAUGAGUGACAUACAGGCACGCUGCUAUGGAUGGUUUUUGGAUAAAUCGACUGUGGUGUAGACUGUUUUGGAGGAAAAAAUACAAAGCUAACUGCUAAGAUGUGAAACUGUAUUUGCUUGGCUAAGUAACGUCAUUUUAGGCUAUCCUAAAAAUCAGUCAUUUAUAUCAAAUUCUAAACAUGUACUGGAGGUCUGUUGUUUUCGUGCACUCUUUGUAAAGUUUUGAAGUGUAGUUAAAUAGUACUCUUCCAAAUUUUAAAUCUUUUAGGCUUUUAUAGAUACAAAGCUAAGCUUUUACUUUGUAUCUAGACAUAAUGUAUAUCUAAGUGUAAUACGAAAUGAUAUGUACCUAGAAAAGUCAAAACGAUUUACAAUUUGGGACAGGGAAUAGCAAUCUUCUAAUUUAUUCAGUUGUCCAGCAAAGCACAGGAUGGAAAAGCAGCAGCAAACAAGAACAGCGAAAAGUACCUUAGUUUGACUGCUCUAAACUUUGUUGAUUUCUUAAGAUCCAAACCAGAACUCAGUCAAUUUUAUUAUUUUGAUAUUGGGGUUAAUUUGAGGGCCAAGGAACCCCUAAUGCAAAAGGUAAAUGUGCAGAAAAGUAAGAUAUACUCCCUCCGUCCACAAAUAAUUGCACAUUUCGUUUCCCGAUGAGUUAAACCUUUUAAAGUUUGACCAAAUAUAUACAAAAAUAUACUAAUAUUUAUCAUAUGUAAAAUGUAACAUUAGAUUGAGCAUGAAAUAUAUUUUUAUAAUAUACUUAUUUGCAGAUACUGUGAGUGAUAAUCUGCUGUCCCCCUUUUCUCCUUGCCCUGCGUUUUGCAGGAACAAGUGGUCAGCUUCAGCUGCCACUGUAGAAGUAUGGCAAUAGGCCAUUCAGUCAUCCAUAGUUGGUAGAAGUACACCAGCUAGAGUAGAGGGCUGGUAUAGGCAGGUACUAAAGUACUUGAUUGUUAGAGUAUGUGUAAUGCAUGCCCAUGUGGCUAGGCCCAUGAGGCCCAUGUAUCCCUAACUAUAUCGCCACCCUGGUUAGGGUUGGCCCAAGUAAUGAAACCCUAAUUCUAACAUGGUAUCAGCUAGGGCUCUUCUCCCUCCUCCAGCCCCAGCCGCCGCCUGCCUCUAGCCGGCCGGCCGGCACGCCGCCAGCCAUGGCUGGCCGCCCUCCUCAUCCUCCUCCCUCCUCUGCUUAUCUCCAUUCUUUCCCUCCCCUUCCCACCUCUUCCUGGGCCCAGAUAACUGCUGCCGCCGCCCAUCCACCCGCGCCUGAAGCACGCUCUGUACACCCGACGACGGGGAAGGAGCACCUCAGCGUCGUGGUGUACGUCGACGACCUCAUCAUCAUGGGCGCACGCGCGAGUGACAUCGCGACCUUCAAGGAGGAGAUGGCGGUACGUUUCAAGAUGAGCGACCUCAGCGCUCUCCUACUACCUCGGGAUCGAGGUAAGGCAAGGGGAGGAUGCCAUCAGGCUUGGGCAAAAGGCAACGCGCAUACGCGAUGAAGCUGCUUGAGCGGGCCGGGAUGGUGGGCUGCAAGACGGUGGCCACGCCGAUGGAGGAGCGGGUCAAGCUCUCCAAGGCAAGCACAGCAGCGAAGGUGGAUGCCACACUCUACCAGAGCAUCAUCAGCGGGCUGCGGUGGCUCACACAUACACGGCCGGACAUCGCGUUCGCUGUCGGGUAUGUGAGCAGGUUCAUGGAGGACCCCUGUGAAGACCAUUGGAUGGCGGUAAAGCGUCUUCUACGCUACGUCUCCGGCAUGGCGGAGCUGGGGUUGGCCUACCCCAAGCGCGGCAGGCUUUGGCUGACUGUGUUCAGUGAGGCCCCGCCCAAGGAUGCGGAUAGCGCGCUAGAGCUCACGGCGUUCAGUGAUGCAGACAUGGCGGGCGACGUGGAUGGGUGGCGGAGCACCUCCGGCGUACUUGUCUUCCUGGGAGCGGCGUCGAUUGCUUGGCAGUCAUUGUGGCCCUGUCCACCUGUGAAGCGGAGUACGUGGCUGCGGCCACGGCGGCAUGCCAAGUGGUGUGGCUGCGGUGGCUAUUGACAGAGCUCACCGGAGCUCGAGCUCUGCCACCGGCGUUGAAGGUUGACAACCAACCAGCCAUUGCAUUGGCCAGAAUCUGGUGCUCCAUGAUCGCAGCAAACACAUCGACGUGAAGUUUCAUUUCCUUCGGGAUUGCGUCGAUGGAGGCCAGAUUGUCAUUGAGUUCGUCAACACCAAUUGGCAACUUGCUGACAUCCUCACCAAAUCCCUUGGCAGGCUUCGGUUCAUGGAGCUGAGGGGGCUGAUGGGCAUGGUGGAGAUCAAGGACUGACAGGCAGGAUUAGGGGAAGAUUGUGAGCGAUAAUCUGCUGUCCCCCUUUUCUCCUUGCCCUGCGUUUUGCAGGAACAAGUGGUCAGCUUCAGCUGCCACUGUAAAAGUAUGGCAAUAGGCCAUUGGGUCAUCCAUAGUUGGUAGAAGUACACCAGCUAGAGUAGAGGGCUGGUAUAGGCAGGUACUAAAGUACUUGAUGGCUGAUAUAAGCCAUGUAGAGUAGUUGUAUGGAGUGGUGUAGUCACCAUGCAAGUAGUGUACCAGCAGGUACAUGUUUUGUGUAUAUAUACUCUGCCUAUGCAAUCAGAAAAGGCAGUUCAUUGCCACCAUUUGCAGUGUCCAGUCUUCAGCCAACGCUGAAGACAGUUGUGUGCUGCGUGUGUGCUGAAGUGAGCUCUGCUCAUCUUCUACCUUGGGACAGGGGAGAAGGAGAGCCGAGGGGAGCAAGUGCUGCUCACCUCGGGCAAGUGCUGGGCCAACAGAUACAAAUACUGAUAUUAUUUGAUAUAUUUCUAGUCAAACUUAAAAAAAGUUUGACUCCUCAGGAAGCGAGAUGUGCAUUUAUUUGUGGACGGAGGGAGUAUGUGCUAGCUUAAUACUGUCAGGCAGGUUAUGAUGACUAGCAUGUUUGCAGGCCUAAUAAUAGCAAACAAGUAGAUGAACCAAAAGUGCAUAUCAGUGACUUUGUGUACCUUGCGAUUGAGCAAUUUCCCUUCAAAAUCACAGACAGUAUCAGAAGUGGUCAGUAUCCUAGCAUGCUCAUCAGACUCAGAUGGACCAAUGACGACUCCAGUAAACUCCCAUACUGGCACCCCAUCUGAAAACAGGAGCAACUGAUGUCAAGAUUAGCUAUGAGGGAAUUAUUGUGUAACCUAUAAUAAUCUAACUGCAAGAUCGGAAUAAUGAAUUUACCAUCUCCAACCCGGGUAGAGGAAAUGCUGACAAUCGAGCUAGAUAGCCUAAAAAGCAUCUCCCUUUGCCUCAUGGAGAUCACCUCACUGGAAGAAGGCGUCUCCCUCCCCUUUGUCUCCCUCAAGAUAGGAGGAUUGGAGACAGGAUCUGAACAGAGAGACCACACCCAAAAUAAGAGUUAGCAGGGGAAAACCUUCAUUGGAGGAGUAAGUAAUAAUGAAAAACAACCGUUGGCAGCCUUCUCGUAAGCCACUCUAGUAGCCUCGUGCCACUCUGCGAUGUCUUGCCGGCUUCGACCCUUGGGGAAACUGGGGCAUCUAUGAGGGAGAGGACGGCUGCUCGCGAUGAGGGGGAGGGCAUCAUCUGUCCACUCCUCGUCCUCCGCCUCUUCUGUGAUGGUCGCGCUCGUCUGCUCGGCAGUGACGGACUGGGUCUCCACUAGUCUCCCGCCCGCCUCCCACAACCAUGUUGUCUUGCUCUUGCCGUUCGUCGUCUCCACCGCCACAGCCGAAGAGGGCUCCCCGGCAUGUCUGCUCUCCGUUCUCCUCCUCCUCGGCACCGGCGUGUCGCGAUCCAUCUCAAGCGCAGCCGACAAACGCGUCGCCGGUGAGAGGGAUCUAGGGAUUGGAAACUGGGGUUUGGGAACGAACGAAAUCUGACAGUUUGAGCCUCAGCGCAGCCGACAAAUGCGUCGCCGGUGAGAGGGAUCUAGGGAUUGGAAACUGGGGUUUGGGAACGAACGAAAUCGGGCAGUUUGAGCCUCCGAGGGCGCCGCCGGGCUCGAAGCCUCGAACGGAACCGCGACUUAUCACGUGGGCGACGUCGGCGUGCAAUCAGGCCAUCAUCCAUUCAUCCUACCGUCCGCAGGGCGCUCCCCAUCCACAUCCAACGACAACAACUUUUUUUUUUUUUUUUGAGGAAGACAACAACUGUGUCAUGUGCUCCACCCUUCCAAGUAAUAGGCCUUGGCCCAACAAGAGACUUGUUGCAGAAUGCAGAAAAGGGUGUCAUGUGGCCCAACAACUUCUUUUUUUAUUUGGGUUGUGUGUGUGGUAACGAAAAAUUAAUAAUUAAUGUCAUGAUAAUUUGAGAAUGAAUAUGUGUUACAUUAUACUCCCUCCGUCCUAGUAUAUAAGGCAUAACCUUUUUUUUAUUCAUGUCCUAUGAUAUAAGUCAUGCUCUCUCACAAACACAAAUAUAUAGUAGUAUAAGUGUUGUGAGAGAGAAUUAAAUAUGUUUUUAGUCUUUGAACCAGAGAUGGUUACGCCUUAUAUAUAAUAGGACGGAAGGAAUAUAUAUUACUAAAUAAAAAUACCCAGUAGUUCAAGCAGCGGCAUUCUUCCAUGCCAUGUUUUUUCCUCAUACAUACAUUGGAAAUAACGAUUGACUCUUCUUACCGUUUGAAGUGUGUUAUAUUAUUAUUAAAAAUACCCUGAUAAUUCAAGCAAUUGCAUUUUUUUCAUCCCAAAGUUUUUUCUUUCAACAGAUCGUGGUUGUGCGACAAUCAUUAUACUAAUUCGCCAGAUGGAUCAGAUUUGGGUCAUUUGGUGUUAAGAGGUUCUCAAAUGUUGUAGAACCACCAUUAUUAUAAUAACUAUUAUAUUGUCCAUGCCAAUGUUAAGUCAAAAGUUAAUGAGAUAUUUACCUAUAUGGCCUCAGAAAAAAUGCAUCUUUCUUACAUGAACCUUUUUAUUUUGAACUUACUCAUAUGACCCCAAACAAUAUUUUCUUCCUUCUAUGGCCUUUCGUCCAUUUUUUGGCACUUGAUGGUGUUAAAUCAAUGUUAUAAUGACCACUUUACCCCUAACAAAAAAAUGCAAAAUUUUAUUUGUCUGCCGUAUAUUUUAAAACUUAUUUGUCUAAUAUUACUACAAACUUACUUGUAUAUUUUCAAACUUAUUUGUGUAAUAUUACUAUAAAUUUACCUAUACAUUUUAAAAUUUAUUUGUGUAAUAGUACUCCAAAUGUAUACUAGACAAAUAAACUCUGGAUUUGUUUGUCAGGGGCAAAUGGUCAUUUUAUCCUUGACUUAACACCGUUAGGUGCAAAAAAUAGAUAGAAAGCCAAAGAAAGAAGAUAAUUUUAUUUUAAAGCCAUACAGGUAAGGUCAAAAUAAAAGAGGUCAUAUAAAGAAGAUGUAUUUUUUCAGGGACAUAAAGUUAAAUGGCUAAAAGUUAAUUCUAGAACAAUAAUGAUCUCACGCCAUGCUAACGUCAGUAGUGUGCCAUGAUAAGGUUGAAACAACUUCGUUUUAGCCUAAUCAUAGCAUCUUUGGUCAUUGGUCAAUGCCAUGGUCAACAGAAGCGUGGCAUUAGGCCCUAAUCAUUGCAGGGUUUUUUUUUUGUAACAUAUCACUACAGUUCACAAACUAAAAGACAUUAAAUAAGUUAACAGGCAGUUAUUAUAACCCCUCAGAGAUCCAAUUUAAAUCACACCACAGCUGAAUUAAACAAUUAUUACAGAUGGAGCUCCAUUCCAAAUCAAAUCACAGAGGUUACGUUCAUAGGAGACACUUGCAGCAAAAGAAGAGCUGAUGUUUACAUUGUUAAACGGCACUUCCUAUCGGUAGGUCUUGAAAUCCUCAUGGGGACAAUAACUACAUCUAUAUAAUCAUAUUAAACUAACAUGAGUACAUGACCAAAACAAGAAAUAUCUUUAUAAUACGUAGUCACAUAAGCAACACUGCAACAGCAAGCCAGAAUUUUUUUGGCAUAAGUAAUCUGACGGUAAUUCUAGAUUGGCAUACUACAGAUCACAUGACAGUGUAAAUUUGUAAAGAUACUUGCCUAGAGCAGAUUAGGACUGUAGUGAAAUUUGAUUAGUUUCUUUGUGCUCGGAUCAAAUUCAAAGAAACCCCUUUUCACUUCUUUUUUGUUUUUUUUUCUGUGGAUGAUGAGGCAAGAUGGAAAAAUAGCACAUAAGUUACAAGUCUUCGAGGUUCUAUAUGUAUUGACAGUUUAGCUUGAGUUUCCCAUAGGUAUAUAUAACUACAAGUGGUGCUUACUAGAUUUAAGGGGCUUUGAAGUUUGAAAAAAAAUAUGCUAAUGAAUUAUAGCUCACUUAAAUGCCUAUUUGGUCAAUGUCUUGAUCAACUAAUGUUGUUUUCACCGAUCCUCUAAAACUGGCUUCAUGGAUGUAGAUUGCGAAGUGAUGUAAAAAUUGGUAGAGAUUUUUUAUCGCGUAUGUUAGGUUGAUCUCACCUUAUAUCUUAAACUUUAGAUUUAUCUGUUUUCCUAUUCCAUCACAGGUUUGUUCACAGAGCACGCUUCAUCGUCACGGUCAAUCACCGAUAGAUUUAACAACUACAAUACACAUCUCUGUUCUGAAAUAGAUUCUUUAACUAUGGAACCUUAUUGUCUAAAAAUCAUAGGUCUUCCCAUAAACCCAUGUCGAGUGUGUGUUCUCUAAACACUCUGGGUGGUAGUCUUUGGUAAGUGGAUCUGUGAGCACUUGCUCAAUACUUUUAAUAUGAUUCCGGACUAUCUCCUUCACAAUGUAUAACUUAGUGUCAAUGUGUUUGGUAGCACACUUGACCCAUCGUCAAAUGAGUCAAAUACUUAAAUGAUUAUUGCUGAUGUAUACCAUUAUCAAUUUUGGAUGUUAGUUCUCUUAACCAUUUUGUCUGUCCUUUAAGCAUCAUAACAAGCUAAGUAUGGGUAUGCAUAACAAUGGUACCAAAGCUAGGUUUUUACCCUAGCGUGUGAUCUAGAGAGAGAGAGAGAUGGUGAUACACAAACCGUUGUUGGAGGGAAGUGCAGGCACGGUGGAGUUGGAUCCCAAGGCUGCCAUGCCAUGGGUGGUGAAGAUCUGUGCUAGGGCAAAGAUGGUUGAAGAAGAAUGGACGAUGAAGAGCAGUGGAGGAGCUUCCCAUCACUUGGUUGUGCCCCUACUCGAGAUUGGUUUUAGGGUUGUGUUGGGGGGAGUGGCGGCUCACGGUCAACCUCAUAUUGAGAGCCGUCAACCCCCACCUCUUUUAUAGUGAAGGAUGACACGGGCCCUCUAGCCAUAGAUGGGUUGGACACCCGCGAUCAGGGCACGAGUCAAGACCUAAUUAGGUUGUUGGGCCUUCAAGGAGUGCACCGACCAACGAGCACUUGGUGCUCGGGGACUGGUCGUCAGAUUUGUUGAGACUGCUCCGACCACCGAGCGCUUGAUGCUCGGGGACUGGUCGUUUAGUUUAUUGGUUUGGAAAUCAGCAAGCCGAACCGGACGCCGACCAUUGUACACCCGGGGACUGGUUGACCAGCUCGGCGAAUUGCAAACUCUAUGGUAAAUGAGCAUGAGAUGCUUGGGGACUGGAUAAUUUCGGUUUUUUUAGACCUUGCUACAAGGUUCAUACUUCGCCUUCCAGCAAGCUCGAGGAAUACAUCGAUACGAUGCAUCUAGCGAUGCAUCUCACAUUCAAAGCAGCUUUGGAGAUUCUUUUUUGGACCCUGGCACCACGUGACUACGUCACCUGCUACCAGGCUCGGGGACUAAGUGGGCACACUUCACCUUACGGUGAACUUGCUUGUCUUGUUGAUGGACUGUGCUUUUCACGAAAGUAAAGUGGGCACACUUCACCAAAAAAGGAAUAUUUUUUCUCAAGAGCACCAUGCAUUCUUCGAACAAUUGGCUCCUUCGACGAUGAAGUUAAUUGGAUGCCUUUAGAUUUGUUCAUACUGUUGUCGCAACUAUUUGGGGCAAUUUUCAUAAUGAUUGAAGAUAUUAAGUUUCAUUGGUCGAAGAAGCUCAAGACGGCGUGUUACUUCACAAUACAUGGUGCUCGGGGACUAGCUGUGGGGAUAUAAACCCCUAUACCCUUACGGCUAGACUUGGGCCAGGAGGCUUGGCCCAUUACGAGACAAGUUCGAAGCUUGAUCCGACAGCUCGGAGUUUCACGCAAGGGAAUAAGACGUGGAGAUCAAGCAAGAUUCUAGUUGGUUAGAAUAGGAAUUGAUACCGAACUAUCUAUGGCAAUUGUAACCGACUAGGAUUAGUUGUCAGAUCUGUAACCCUGCCCUCCGGACUAUAUAAGGAGAGGCAAGGGACCCCCCUAGGACACAUUAUUCCCUCAACACAAAUCAAUACAACCAGACGCAGGACGUAGGUAUUACGCCAACUCGGCGGCCGAACCUGGAUAAAAAGCUUGUCCGUGUCUUGCGUCACCAUCGAGUUCGUAGUUUGCGCACCGUCUACCGAUAAACUACUACCGUGGGUAUACCCCAAAGUAGACUGCCGACCAGCUUUCGUCGACAGUGGGAGAUCAAUCCAACAUUGUCCCCCUUGAUCUCAACAUAUACUUUAACAUUUAGCUUUGACUUAAAUACUUUUCACUUUACCUGUUCCAUCACAAAUAAGCACAUAGAGUAUGUAUCAUCGUCAUGGUAAAUUAAAGAUAGAUUAAUCGCUACAAUACACAUCUCUAAUCCAAAAUAGUUACUUUAACUUUGGGCUCUUUAAUUGUGCAUGAAUCAUAGGCUUUCCCUUAAACCCCCAUGAAUCAUAGGCUUUCCCUUAAACCCAUGCCGACUACAUGUUCUUUAAACAUGUUAGGUGGUAAGCCUUUAGUAGUCGAAUCCGCGAGCAUCUUUUCAGUACUUAUAUGAUCAAGACUUAUAAUUUGAUCCCAGACUUUAUCUUUCACAACAAGUACUUUAUGUCAAUGUGUUAGGCAGCACCACUUGACCUUUUGUACUGAGCGUAUUGUACCGUUGUAUCAUUAUCAUAGUAUAACUUUAGUGGUUUAUAUAUGCUAUCGACAACCUUCAAACCGGGUAUGAACUUUUUUAACCAGUUCAUGUGCCCCCGUCGCCUCAUAACAUUCUACAAACUCGACAUAUAUUAUGGACGAUGUAGCAAUGGUUUGUUUUGAGCUUUUCCAUGAAAUAGGUCCCCCUGCGAGAGUGAACACAUAUCUAGACAUGGAUUUUCUAUCAUCUCCCACAUAAUCAGAUUUUGUGUACCCUACUAUGUGCAAGGAAUCUGAUCUUCUAUACAUUAGCAUGAGGCCUUUUGUGCCUUGCAAAUAACGCAAGACUUUCUUUACUAAUUUCUAGUGUUCUAGUCCUAGAUUGCUUUGAAAUCUACCAAGGCCUUGUUUAGUUCCGAAAAAAUUUCGGAUUUCGCUACUGUAGCACUUUCGUUUUUAUUUGACAAAUAUUUUCUAAUCAUGAACUAACUAGGAUCAAAAGAUUCGUCUCACGAUUUACAGACAAAAUGUGUAAUUAGUUUUUAUUUUCGUCUAUAUUUAAUGCUUCAUGCAUGUGCCGCAAGAUUUGAUGUGACGGGAAAUCUUGAAAACUUUUUGGAUUUCAAGGUGAACUAAACAAGGCCCAAGUAACCUAGUAACAAAUGCUAGGUUAGGGCGCAUACACACUUGAGCAUACUAUAAGCUUCCGACAGCUAAAGCAUAUAGAACCACUUUCAUUUGAUCGAGCUUGUACUGGUUCCCAGGGCAUUGAAAAUCCCCAUCUAUCGCCAUUGACUGUGGGUGCAGGUGAUGCACUACAUUUGUGCAUGCUGAAUUUUUUUAGAACCUUUUCUAUGUAUGUCUUUUGUGACAGUCCUAAUACCCAUUUUCUUCUAUCUCGGUGAAUUUCUUUGCCCAAAAUAAAUGAAGCUUAACCAAGAUUUUUCAUAUCAAACUUAAAACUUCUUUGUCUCUAGUAGUAGACUAACAUCACUACUAACAAGUAAGAUAUCAUCUACAUAUAGGAUUAGAAAGUUGUAUUUUCCAUUCUUAAAAUUUGCAUAAACGCAAUUGUCCUCAACGUUUGCUUUAAACCCAAAAUUCCUUAUUGUUUUGGCAAACUUCAAGUACCACUAUCUAGAAGCUUGCUUUAAUCGGUUUCUUUAGGUGGCAUCCCAUUCCUUCUUUGCCUUCCAUGACAACCUUUUGGUUGUGCCAUGUAAACGUUUUCCUCUAGAUCCCCAUUGAGGAUUGUUGUAUUUACAUCCGUCUGAUGUAACUCUAAAUUAUAGUGUGCCACUAAAGCCAUUAUGGUUUUGAAGUAAUCUUUACAUGAGACUAGAGACAAUGUCUCAUUAUAGUCAAUUCCUUCUCUUUGCAUGAACUAUUUUUGCCAUAAGUCGUGCUUAAUAUCUUUCAAUAUUCCCUUGGGGGUCUAAUUAUAGUAAAUCCCUUCUCUUCCUCCUGCUCGUUGGGCUCCUUCUCACCUCCCCCUCACUCCUCGCACCCACCAGCAGCCGCGACAUGAACUCAAACAUGCGGCCUCCGCUUUGCUCGUCCGGGAACGCUUCCUCCUAGCCGCGGCGGGCAAAGCCGGCGCCAGGGGCGAGGAGGCGCCGACCAGGCUCGGCGGGGAAGUGCGCUCCGUGGAGCCAGGGGCGAUGGUGCAGAUGGCCAUGGGGCUUCGGCCGCCGCGGCGGCGGGCGACGGCAUCCCGGCGCGGACGGAGAGGAUGGAGCCGACAGGGCACUCGUGCCAGCAGAGGUCCUCGAUGCUGCGCGUGACCUCCUUAGCUCGGCGGCGGCGCGGUGGCGUUGAGGGGACGCUGGAGCGGCGUGGGAUCGGACGACGAAAUUAGGCUGCCAUGGGCUCGACCUCGGCAUCGGUGCGGGCGAGGCCCCCGAAGUCGUGCGAUGCCCUGGUGGCAUAGAUCCAGUCGCACGGGGAAGGGUGCUGGCGCUCCCAAGGUAGCGGGGCUGCUGCGCUGCGGCAACUUCACUGAAGACGAGGACAAGCGGUGACGAGAAAGCCACACGGGGCUGGCUCGGGCUUGGCUCCAGGAGAACGGCCAAUUCGGGCGUUCAAUACUGGCCAGGCUCCAGGCGUACGGUCGGCUCUGGUUAGCCAGGUCCCAAGUCUAGGACAGCCAACCAAACACCCAAAAAUUGGCCCAAGUGAGCCAUGGACAGGUUGGGGUGCCAACCAAACACACUCUAUAAGCUCUGUAUUGCUUUUGACACUCAAUUUAGAUGUGGAAACUAGGGCAAUACUCUAAGGUGGAGCAUUUGGGAAGGCCUGAGCAGCACAUUGAGUGCAUCAUGUCUUGUUGCACGUGGAUUCACACGUACUCUCCAUGCUGUGUCUCUAUUUCGCGCCUAUGAGAAGCCAAGCCAACACCAUAUAUGCCCGGUGGCCAUGCCACGCCGAUGACCUUGCAUGGCGCUGUGCUGUGCGACAGUUUCUCGUCGCCAACACCAACUGCUGCCUGUUUCCUCUCCCAACGGGACGGACACGUAUGCUCAGCCAGCAGUGAUCGGCACCGCACCAUCAUCGUGCAUGCUCGCUCUCCUGUAGCCCGUUUGAAUUCCCCCGCAGCAGCUGCAUGCCAGCCAGUCGCUGACGCCGGUUUAAUUUGACCGCACACGCAAGCACCUGCACCGCGGGGGCAGCAGCGAACACCGCUGGCUGCGACACUGCUGCCGCCCGGAGGGCCCACGGGUCAGUGGCUAACGAUGCACUGCACCGCAGCCCAGCGGUCUCGAGGACGUGUCGUUUUUCUCCCGUCGAUCGACCGCCGUCUCUUGUUUUCACCGAGCCGCUCCUCCUCCUCGCCUCCUCCUCGCCUUGGAAACCUUCCCUUUACCCCGUACGUCCGCACUCCUCGAUCGAACGCGGGGCGGGGACGCCGUGACCUUGGUCCUUGGGUUGGGGUCCCGCUCGCCAGCUGCAGAGUCGGAAGCAGCUCCCCGUCAGGCGCCGUCACCACGCGCGGCUUUCUUCCUCUUCUGCUUUCCGUCCUCUCACUCACAACGGAAUAAACCCCUGGCCCCCCGACGCCCUCGCGCACCCGAGCGCGGAGCGGCGGCUCCCAACCCUCCUCACGCCACAAGACGUCUCCGUCCUCACCUCCAAGGGCAGGGCGCAGGGGCACGGCGUCGGCCUCUACGAUCGAGCUUCACCCUUGCCUGCGGCGCAGGAUCUGCCGUCGGUGACGGUGAGCCCCCCGCCGUCAAAGUUUCUACCUUUCUCACCAUCUCUGACUGCCAGCAACCUUCACCCGUUUCGUUUGGUGGUCAUGGUCACAGCACGGUGUCCGCAGCGGCAUCCCUCCGACCGCGAGCGUCUUGCCUUCGCCAAGACGCACUGCCGCGUCGAGCCUGCACCGCGUCCAACUACACCGGACGGCCACCCUGCUCCACAGGACGCGCACAGCACCGGCCACGCCACUCCCCCGUCUGUGCGUACGGCCUCCCUCUAACCAUCGGUGAGCCUUGCUCUGCCAAGCUCCGCCUUUUUUUGUUCCUUGGUUCGGAUUUGGAGGACACCCCUGCCUGUUCCGGCCGGCCUCCGGCCCGGCGAGUGCCGUGCCCAAGGAACAACCCACUGUGGCGUCAACGAGAGCACCAACACACAGCCUUGCACGAGCACGAGCUCAAGAUCACGCGCUCUGCCUUCCUGGCCACUGCUCCAUCGGCAGAACCGCGACCUCGCGAAAACCUUCCGGUGAGCGCACGACCAAAAGCCCUUCCUUUUCCUCUGUUGCCCUCCUCCCCCUUGCAAACACAGCCGGGAAUCCCCGGCCAUGACCGCGCUGGGGCGCAGUGCGUGCACGCCGCGCGAAUCAUGCCGACCACGUGCCUUGGCCUCUGCUGCCCUUGCCAGCCUCGCCGCGACGCGCACGGGAUGACCCGUGGACGCCGUCGCCACGUCAAGACCACGGCCAUGCUCGCAAGCACAGCACACCCACGGCCGACGCACCUCGUGCACGUAUGCCGAGCCCAAGCUUCAGCCUUCCUGCUGCCUAGCGGCCUAGCCUCACCCCCUGCCACACGCUCCGCACCAUGCCGGCACGAGGUUGCCCAAUCACCGCACGCGGGCGGCCGGGCGCACACACGCCCACCACCGAAGCUCCCUGCUGCCUCUGCUCCAUCUCUCCCAGUCUGCACAGUGCACAGCACGCCAAGGCCACGCUUUCGGCGAUUAGACCGGCCGAACCAGGGAGCGCCGUGGGUCUGUUCACGGACGGCAGCGCCCUCGGUUUUUCCAUCCAAGGCGCCCUUGGUGCGCGCCUUGACCCCUUUGUUGCCCUCCGCGCUUGAUCGUGGUGACGCAGCUAACCGUCGCACAGCCUGCACAAACACGAGCACCGCCGACACGGCCAACCAGUGCGACGCUGUUGCCAAACGAGCCUGAAUGAGCACGGCAGGACCGCUCGGGAAUUUUCACGAGCACCUAGGGAGCGCCCCGGUCUCCUCCUUACCUUCUCUUCUGAUCGGGGCGUGAAGCCCAAAGGCCGGAAUCAGCACCGUCCGGAGCCCACCUUCGCUCCUAGCCUUGGACUUUGGACUAAUACAUGCUUGCCGAUUGUUGUUGCUUUUCUAAAUCAGCUAUGGCGCAUCAUGGCCAAGACUUGGGAGGAGCACCAGGACCUCUUGGCUUCGACAGAGAGGAAGAGCGUCUGGUUGCCAUGGCAGCACUACCUUCACUGUUCUGUGUUCUUGUUAAUCCUCGGGGCUUGAUGGACAAUGAGGAGCUCAAAAAAAGAUACAAAAAAGUUGCAAAAGAUGUGGAGAAAGAUGAUAGGAGAUGUCGUGGUAUCAAAAAUCUUGAUGAUGCUAUCACAGCUAACACAAGAGAGAGGCAAGCAACUGGUUUUGUGGUGGCAGCCAAUGACACUACUCUGAGGGUCCUUACAUGCGCCCAUGUCAUUGCCGACAUUUUUACAGCAGACAACCAUAACCAGUUCAAUCUUGAAGAAGUGAACGCCCUGUUUAGGUUUGAUGUUCACUGUUAUCACCAUGAGGUAAAUGUUCGCACAAGGCUCAUCAAUCAGAAAAUAUCUGAGCGCCUCAGAUUUCCUACUCAGACACGAGUUAUUGCUCUGGAUACUCAGAAGGAUUUGAUGGUUCUCGAGUUUGAUGUUGGAUAUCUGUGUGACAGAGAUGAGACAGAUGUGGGAGGUGCGAGGACCUGGUGCGAAGCCAUGCAUCCAGUUAUCCAUAGAGCUGAUGCAGAUCCUAGCAAGAUGCAGAAGAUGGUCCUAGCUGGGUGGCCACCUCAAAGAGCUGGUUCUUGUGCCAUUGGGCAAGUUUCCUUUUGUCAUUGGACAUAUGAUGCCAUCACUGCGGUAAAUUUUAAGGGAUACACCAUGAGGCUGUUAGAGAUUCCUGGUAUGGUAGCUGACAACGGAUUCUCUGGCGCCCCUGUUCUAAAUGGCGCCGGCCAAUAUGUGGGUGUUUUUCAUGGUGUAUUUAAUCUUUCCACUGGAUAUGCUAUAUGUUCGCAGGAUGUGAGGGACUUUCUUCAGGAACACAACGUGGUACGUUUAUGUGAUAAUAAUACAUAUCUGUUAUACACUUAUACUAGGUACUAACUGUGUUUAAUUAUUGUUCUAAUUUGUAUUGUUCGUUUCAGUUGGUUUGGGAGCCCAACGAUGCCGAGGAAGCUUAGAGCAUCUUUCGCCGCCGCCUCUAUGCCUGCAGACGCCUCCCAACUGAAGCAGCUCUUCCCUCCGGAUCCCGCUACCACCCGCCUGUUGAAGCUAGCUGUGUGAACUAUGCACAGAUGUCUUUUGCUCAAGUCAGCCGUGUGAACAAUGUUGAAGCUACCUGUGUGAACUAUGUCAGGACAGCUGUGUGAACUAUGUAAUGUCAUUUGUGAUAACUAUGCUUCUGUCAGGUGUGUGAGAACCAAGUUAAAUAUAACCUCUGUCUGUUGGAUUCUAAUUUCUCUUGCCCUGUGUUGUCAACUAUGUUGCGGUCAAGUUGGCCUGUGCUCUUUUCCUUUCUUUUUCUGAACUGUGAAACUUGCUAGUCGGGUCCUCACUGCUGGUGCACUGCACCAAGCAGAUUCUGCUGCAGAUUGUCAUGCUGAACUUGCUCCUUUGCAAAAGCCAUGAAAAUUUCAUUCACCUGAAUCUUUCCUGAUGAAUGUUGUGCUUAAUGACCCAGAUUAACCCUUGAAUUUUAAUAACGCAAGCAAGCAUUGUAAAGAUUCUGAAGCCUGCUUUCUAACUAGAUGUCCACGUAUAACAGCUUGCAUUUUCACCGGAUGCUUCUGAUUCAGGAGCUCUUCCCUUGCCUGUAGUCAUGCAAAUGGAUAAUGCCUUGUUUUUUUACGUUGAUAAUAUAUAAAUAAUUAAUAACAUUGGAUGAGGAACAGCUAAGCAUAAUGCUAAAAGAGCAAUAAUUGCAACUUACAAUGCAAGUGCUGCUGCCAGGCUGAAGAUUAGUAGAUGCAGACUCCAAAUGAUCUUCCUCAGGGUCUGCACUGCUUCCUUCAACAAGUGAUGUGUUUUCCCCCUCCUUCGGCCCAGUUGAUGAGACAGAAAUAGUUUCAUCUGGCUCUUCAAUUAGUUCCUCAACUGCCCUUUCAGGUGUCUCUUCUGUUGCAUUUUCUAUUGUCCCUUCACCUGUAUUUUCAGGCCUUGUUUAGUUCACCCCAAAAACCAAAAACUAAACAAGGCCUCAGAUGUUGUCUCUGUUAUUUUUUCAGCUGGUUCUUCGGUUGGUGCAUCAUUUUUUUUUUCAGCUGGCUCAUCAGUUGGUGAUUCAGUUAUCUUUUGAGUAGGUAGUUCAAUUGAUUUUUCAAUUAUCUGGUAAGCUGGCUCUUCCAUAAGUUUGUCAAUAGGCUUUUCAAUUGGCUUCUCCAGCAGCUUUUCAUCAGAGUUCUCUUGAUGCAGAGGCUUGUCCUCUAGCUUCUCUUGAUGCAUGUAGCAAACUUGCCAAGCCUAGCAGAGAUUUUCUCGCUUGUGCGGGCGAGCCAAUUUUGUUCUCAAGGUUCCAAUGGCAGGCGACUAUCAAUUCGCCAUGUCGUAUUAUUGAGAUCGGCCAGCGACCUACAUGUGGGCAUUCAACAAGGCUGUCCAUGCAACAAUUAAGCUUUCCACCGCCGAAUUGAUCUUCUAUCGCCAAAACAAGUGCAUUGUUGUGCAGAUCUAGAUUCCCCCUUUGCUGAAUUGAGCCCCUUGCAGUUAAAUCGAGCCCCAGUCUUGCACAAACAAAUAAACGAGUCUGUUGUGAUCCCAACCAUACCUUAUCCCAGUAGAUUGGUGUCUCAUAGGGGUGCAAAUGAGUGAUGAUUAGGUGCACCUCUAAACCUCUUUAGUUCAAAUAUUUAUACUACUUCUCUAAAAAAAUUAAGAAGUAGUACAAAUAUUUGAACAAAAGAGGUUUGGAGGUGCACCUAAAGGUUACCCCUUUGCACCUCUAGUGUCUCAUGCGCUUGAUUAAGAUCACGUUCGGUUAGUCCGGAAUGGGCCGCUCCACACGGGAAUUGUUCUGACUUGAUCAAGGUUAUACAAAUUAGCCAACUAUUCUUAGAAACCAUUCUCGUUAGGAAUCGUUCGAGAAACCAAACGAGGCCUAGAGCAUCUUCAAGAGUUAUCUAUUUUUUACUUAGCAAAUCUUGUGAUUUGCCAACUCCCACAAUAAUAUAGGGAGUAAAAAAAUAGCACCUCUCUAAGAGUUUGCUAUUUUAGACUUGGUAAAAUGAAAAAAAGAAGGCCCACAAGAUGGUUUUUUCCUUGGGCGCUACUGAUUCCGCGCGCUUCCCCUCCUCCCCUUCGCGCAAACGAUUCUGUCGCCGCAUCGUAGCUUCAUCGAUCGGUUCCGUAACGUCAGACCUAGCGUGAACCCUAGAAGGACAAUGACUACCUAUAGCGCUGGCCUUGCCCUAGUAGACGUCGACUACCCUAGUUGUGCAUCCUAAACGCUGACGGCUAGGCUUCGCAUCGAGGAGAAACGAAGAACAGCGGCGACGCGACCUUUUCUUCACGCGGAUGAAGGAGGCGUACCCUUUUCUUCGCGCACACGGGGGAAGGAAAUGCGUGAAGGUUUCGUGUGCACAGAGGAAGGAAACGUGGCGCCAGAAAUCGUGAUGGCAAGUUGAUAUGCCAAGUUGCUAUUUUUACCAAGUUUAUUUACCCAACUGUUGGAGGCAAAUUUUUCUUGUUUUGCCAAAAUUAUAUGGAUUCCAAGUUAUUUUGCUAAACUCUUAGAGAUGCUUUUACCUUGCGAAUUGAUGAGAUAUAGGAGGAAGAAAAAGAAAACAUGAAAGCUAGAGAACCAAAGAGAUAGGAAACCUUGGUCAUGCUCCAUGCAUCAACGGCUGGUUCGUCACCUCAGUAUCGGUGUAUCACGAACACUUGGGCCUUGUUUAGUUCACCUUGAAAACCAAAAAUUUUUUAAGAUUCCCGUCACAUCAAAUCUUGUGACACAUGCAUGAAAUAUUAAAUAUAGACGAAAACAAAAACUAAUUACACAGAUUAGCUGUAAAUCACGAGACGAAUCUUUUGAUUCUAGUUAGUCUAUGAUUGGAUAAUAUUUGUCACAAACAAACGAAAGUGCUACAGUACCGAAAAUUUUUUACUUUUCGAAACUAAAGAAGACCUUGUAUGGCAAACCAGGACCCAAGAAAAAGUUGCGCAGGGAAGAGAACUCUUGCUCUCCUUUUUCUGAAAAAAAAAACGGCAGAGGCUUGUACAGUCGAUGGAGCUACUUAAUAGGACUCCAAAUAAUAGGUUUCUCUAUAAUAGAACUCCUAACAUUGCUUUCUCCUAAAUAGGACUCCAAACGUUGUUCAUAAGCUCUAAUAACAUUUCAAACUUUUUUUAAUCAAAAUUGGUAAUUUAAAAUACAUGUAUUUUUAGUUAAUGACGGUAUUGCCAAUCCGCCGUCGAGCCCCCAACGGCGGCGGGCCAUCUGCGAUCUGCCUGGACAUCGGGUUGCAGGCAGCACGGAGCACCAAGAGCGGGAGGUACCUGGCCGACAUCCAAUAUUUACUACUGACAGGAAGCCAUGACCAUGGCCAGCCAGCACGGCAGCCACGACCAUGCGCGGCAUGGCAGCAAGGCAACAAGGCAUCGGUUAAUGAAAAGCCAGGAAGCUUACAAUGUUUUUUUUUUCGUAACGUAGACAACCAUUACAGUCUAAUGACUAAAGGAUAAAAAAGUCACUUUAGGAACAAAUACAACAAGUAUUUAGAUAAGAAAAAAGAUUAAAAAAGCACAAAAUGUCAUUACAGCUUAUUACCAACGUUUAGAGUCUUAUUACCAACGUUAGGAAUCCUAUUUCGGAGAUGCCACACGAUUAGAGUCCUAUAAUAACCAUUUUCUCAUUACCAGGAACCAAAGUUUCUACAAAUAAAAUUCUAGGCUUUCUAGUUGCUCAUUAAGACUUUGAGAGGAAAGCUGUUAACAACGUCGUCCGUGCCCCAGCCGUCGCCGUUGCGCUGCUUCCUUUGGCUCACGGGACGACGGCGGCACGGCGCCCGGAUGUGCCCCGGCGUCUGCCGCCUGUGCCCGUGUGCACGGUCUUCUCGGCUGCGCCAGCCGGGCCGAGACGCUUUUGCCUUCUCUUUACCCCUCGCACUGGCCGCAGCUUCUGAUCACCAGACGAGGUUGUGAUCCACGGCCAUUCUCCCCUGCAGCAGCGGCCGGGACUCGCCGCGCGCGCACCGACGGAGGCCGCACGAGGCGACCGACGAGGACACGCGGCUGAGGACGUCGAGGAAGUGGCCCUCGUCGCAGGGGAGCGCGAUCGGUCCGGGACCCGCCGGGAAGCCGUACUCCUCCUCUGCCUGCCGCAGCAGGUCCCGGAACGCCGGGUGGCCGAGGCGCGCCACUCGCACCACGAACCGCCUCGGCCCCAACGCCGCCCCGUCGCCGUCGCCGCCGCCUCGCACGGACACCGCGACGUGCCCCGCCGGAACCGCGGCGCGGGACCGCCACCGCCGCAGCGUGUGGCGCAGCCAGACGAGCGACGAGAGCGUGAUCACCGCCUUGCACAUGGUUGGAACUUGGAAUUCGACUGGUGUUUGAGCGAGCCUUGUUUGAUUCGCUGUGCGGAGGCUUGCUUUGCGAUCGAGGGCGGAAUGGCAGGGCCGAUGGGGUGGGGUGGCCAUAUAUAUAGAGGUCGCGGUGGGCAUCGGCCACUGGAGUUGCCGGGAGUUUCAGGGAUGGCAUCGUGGGUUGGGGGGAUCUGGCAGCAGGGGUGCUGCGCGUGCACCAAACGGCUAGUUGCCUACUGCGAGUGCUGGUGGGUGAAAGUGAUUUUCACAGCUCUAUUUCACGUGGGACUCGUUCGCUUGUUUCUUUUUAAUCGCAAUGAACAUUUAUUGGCGAGAUUACAUGAAUGCACCGGAGCUAUUGACAUUAACGAAGGGGAACAAGCACACAAACACAUGCAAUUUUCCAACGAUCGUGGUUCAAAUUCGCAACUUUCGGAUGAUAUCCUCACUAGCUGUAAGAUUGCUGCUGAACAAUGGAGGUUCAAACUACCAAGAAGAAACAAGCAAAUUUCAGAUGUAUGGUGCCUUAGUUGGGAUAGUUCUCACUUGUUUGGCUUGACAGUACUGUCCAGGACAAAUCUUUGGUUUUGCCAUUAUAGCAGCGGAGCACUGAGCACAUGUCUUCUUAAACCCAACAUGUCUGUUUCCGCAUCUGCAUCGUGUCCUUCUGUUGGGAAUAUUUUUUUAUUUUUAGCCCAUUUUUAAAACAAAUUUCAAAUUUAGGCCGUUUAGGAAAAAAAUUUCAAAACUAGACCGUUUGGCCCCGCCACCAUGCAUGGCGGGGCAAAUACACAUGACCCCGCCAUGCAUGGCGGCGGGGUGCACUGGUGACGUGGCGCAUGGCUGGCAGAGUACGCUGACGUGUACCCCGCCGUGACUGAUGGCGGGUUUGCGCACCCCGCCGUGGAUCAUGGCGGGGCACGCCCAGGACCACUAAAAGCUCUUUCUCUCCCUCUGUCCUACCCUACCCUACCCGCGCCCGCAUCUUGUUUAGUUUAAAAAAAUUUGGAAAAUCGGUACUGUAGCACUUUCGUUUGUAUUUGACAAAUAUUGUCCAAUUAUGGACUAACUAGGGUCAAAAGAUUUGUCUCGUCAAUUUCGAUCAAACUGUACAAUUAGUUUUUAUUUUUGUUUAUAUUUAAUACUUUAUACAUAUGUCUAAAGAUUCGAUGUGACGGAAAAUCUAAAAAAUUUUGCAAAAUUUUUUGGAACUAAACAAGGCUGACAAGACUUGGUGGUGUGGUCACGUGAACAUGCACGACCGACUCGGGAAAAGUGGCCGAACUGACCACUCAGGCCUUGUUUAGUUAUGAAAAAAUUUCGGAUUUUACUACUGUAGCACUUUCGUUUUUAUUUGACAAAUAUUAUCUAAUUAUGAACUAACUAGUAUCAAAAGAUUCAUCUCGCGAUUUACAGAUAAAUUGUAUAAUUAGUUUUUAUUUUUGUCUAUAUUUAAUGUAUUAUGCAUAUGCCACUAUACUCAAUGUGACGGGAAAUCUAAAAAAUUUUGGGAACUAAACAAUGCCUGAACUAUGGGCGCAGCUUUAUGGACAUGAUGAUGACUACGGCUGCUGCUAGAGCUAGGCUUUGUCCAAAGCGACAUGAUGACCUUAAAACUCAAAAACUUUUCAAGAUUUUUUAUAAUAUUAAAUCUUGCAGCACAUAUAUGGAAUAUUAAAUAUAGAUAAAAACAAAAACUAAUUACACAGUUUGCCAGUAAAUUGCGAGAUGAAUCUUUUGAGUCUAGUUACUCUAUGAUUGGACAAUGUUUGUCAAAUAAAAACGAAAAUGUUACAGUACCAAAACCAAAAAAAUUUCGCAACUUAAACAAGACCCUAGACUAGACUCCAUGAUGUGCUCAAUUCGUACGAGAGGACAAACAUGUCCUGUCAGCCUUGUUUAAUUUCCAAAAAAUUUGCAAAAUUUUUCAGAUUCCCCGUUACAUCGAAUCUUAGACGUAUGUAUGAAGUAUUAAAUAUAGAUAAAAAUAAAAACUAAUUAUACAGUUUAGUCGAAAUUAACGAGACGAAUCUUUUGACCCUAGUUAGUCCAUAAUUGGAUAAUAUUUUUCAAAUACAAACGAAAAUACUACAGUAUCGACUUUUCCAAAAAUUUUUGGAACUAAACAAGUCCAGCUCUCUGCCUCGUGUGCAUUGCAUUGCUUGGUACGUACCCCGCCAUGAUCCAUGGCGGGGUAGCCCUAACCCGCCAGCGAUCAUGACGGGGUCCAGGUCAGCCACCUCGGCCAUGCAGCGCCACGUGGCAGGGUCUACCCCGCCACCAUGCAUGGCGGGGUGCAGUGUUUUUGCCCCGCCAUGCAUGGUGGCGGGGCCAAACGGCCUAGAUUUGAAAAUUUUUUAAGAAGCGGUCUAAAUUUGAAAUUUGUUUUAAAAAUGGACUAAAAAUAAAAAAAAAUUCUCUGUUGGCCACUCUGCCAUGGACGCAUGCCUUAGGGGCUGCCCCGCGCCUAAGAGAACACCCUCAAUGCAAGCUCCCCCCUCCCCGCGUGGUGGUUUUGUUGACUCAGUCUCACCUCGACCAUCAACCUGCAUGGCGCACGGCAGCGCCGGCGUUGACCAAGAUUAGGAUUCACACACACCCACUCUAUUGCUCAUUUAUGCUCUCUUUCAUUGUUGCAGUCCAUUCAGGUCGAGAGUGCAGAGUUCUUUAUUACCCAGGUAAGGAUCAACACACACGCCCGUUUUAUUAAUAUUGUUCAUGUUUGAUCCCUUUCAUUGUUGCGCUCCAUUGAGGUUGGGUGUAUGGCCAGCAACACCUAAGGUUGUCAGUUAGUUCACGUCGUGCUAUGGCAACACCAUCACAUGUUUAUAUAAUUUCCUAUUUUUUUAAUUCUUUCAGUUGAGGGUAACACCAAUGCUUGGUAAUAUUGCAAACUAGGAGGAUUCUCCAUGCGUUGUCGAGGGUAUGAAGGAUGAAUAUAAGUAUAUCUCUUUUAUUAGCAUAAUUGUGGAUAUUGUAUCCAUAGUGGAUGAUGUGUCCUGUUGAUGUAGAUAUCAUAAUUCUUGUGCUAGUGAACUUAAUGCAAAUGAUAGAAAAUUGCUGAGGUGGACACCUUGCAUGUCAAGAGAAAUUGAUAGUGGACUGCUGAGGUGGAUGCUUUGCAUUUUAAGAGAAAUAGAUAGUGAGGUUGAUAGUGGAUUGCUGAGGUGGACUCCUUGCAUGUCAAAAGAAUUAGAUAGUGGGGUUUUGCUUUAUAAGAGUUAUAGAUAGAUUUGGAUGUCUUGGAUUGUACUUGUAUAUCCAAAAAUAUUUCAAUUUUAGGCACUGUAAUGGCUGCACACUUUAUAAUAGAUAUAGAUAAAAAAUAGUUACAUCUGAGACGUAUCAUGUUUCCAAAUCCAUAUUUAGGUGUGUGACCAACCUCCAACCAGCAGACAAAGCAGAUCCCGUGCUCCAAGUUAGGGCUCGUUCGUUUAGCCAUUGUUCCAGAUGGAUUUAUUCUCGAUGAUCAAAAAUAGCAUAAAUUCGUACAACAUUCCUGGUGGGAAUCAUUCUAGACCUCCAUUCCGUAAGAAACGAACAGGGCCUUAGACUGCUCAUAGUAACGGUGCAACUGUAUUCCUUGCCUCCAGCCAACAAACAUGGUAUGAUGGCUCCACUUAUGCUCUUUCUACUUACUGCUGCGGUAUUGAUUUAGGGAUUCCACUAUGAUGCAGACUAUACAUAAAGAGAGGUAGAUCAAACUCACACAGGCACUCAAAUAGAGGUUCUGCCGUUAUAUUCAAUGAAACAAAGACGAAAUAUCCAGUAUGCUAAAGCUGAGUAUGAACAACAACCAUUCCUUCACUUCCCCAAAAUAUUGAGGAUAGCCUUUUAAUCACUUAGGGCCCGUUCGUUUACUUGGGAAUGGGUGGCUGGAAUAGUUUCAGCUGGAAUAACAAGUCUAUAGUAGCAUCACCUAAAUUUAUUCCUGCUCUCAAUCCACUCCAAACAAACGAGGCCUUUUAGAGCUGUGUAUUCGCCCUUCUAUCCGUGUACCCUUAUAUGAUUCCGGCAAAAAAACAUCCAUUACCAGUUAUUUUGUUAGAUGGUUUAUUUGCAUAUUGUCUAUAUUUAGGUUUCUUAAAAGAAAUCUUACAUCUGAUAACUGCAAACUCGAGCUAAAUGAAUCAGAACUUUACGCAAAAUGAGCUAAAGGAAUCCAAACUUUAAGCAAAGUAUUCCAGGUACCGUUCUCCAUAUAUUUUUCUAUGCAUUUUGUAAAUUAUCCAGUGCAUUCCGUGAUCUAAUUUGGGCUUCUGUUUUCCAGCAAGUUAGGUUUAGCGCUACCGAGAGGCAACCAGCACCAACGAAUACUACAAUAAAUAACUUGAUCAGAAUGAUGGCGAUUCACUGGAGUCAUCUCCAAAAUCUCCCAGGGAUCAGCAGUUCCACAACCAUGGAUUAUUUCAUCAGGACCAAGCUUCUUCAGCAGACAAUUAAAUAGAAUUAAGAAUUCAAGACUUCUCUUCUUUGCCUUCGAUUCUAUAAGAUCCGGAAUAAUAUCACUUUCAUAGUAUUUUUUCCAGAAUGUGUGUUCCAAUCACCCAUGAAUUUUGCUUGGCCGUCUGGUGGCUCAUGGAAAAAACAAACAAAGGUGUGUAUCCAGUUCAUGAACUGCAGCUACCUCAUGUUUACAAACAUAUUAUUUGUUAGGUGCGUGCUUAGAGCGUGCUUACCGAAAAAAACAUUGCAUUAUUGUUUCAAAUACAGAGAUAUGUACAAUAAUAAUAAGUAAAUAGUUUGAAAAAUGUUAGUUUCAUCAUUGGAUGAUUUCUAUUACUUAUGAAUUUCCUAAUUCUUCAUUCAUUACUCAGGGCUGCAUAUGGUAAUAAGGUACAUAAAAAUGAUACAUUGAUUCCCUUAUAUGUACCUUUAAAUAAUUCAUAUUUGUUCAUUUUUUGGAUAUUUCUUUACUAAAUGUAUUACUUAAUUUAUCCAGGUCCUGCAAGACAACUACUGUUGUCACAUAGGGUCUUUGCCACUGCAUAAAAAUCUGUUGUACAUCACGUAUGCUGUCACCUUGCUGCCUGCGCGGGGUUCCAGCUAGUUAGGCCCUGUUUAGUUCCCCACUCAAAAUUUUUUCAUCCAUCCCAUUAAAUCUUUGGACAUAUGCAUGGAACAUUAAAUAUACAUAAAAAAAUAAACUAAUUACACAGUUUGGUUGAAAACCGCGAGACGAAUCUUUUAAGCCUAGUUACUCUAAGAUUAGUCUUAAGUGCUAAAACCCACAUAUGCUAAUGAUAAAUUAAUUAUGCUUAAUAGAUUUGUCUUGCAGUUUCCUGACGAGCUAUGUAAUUUGUUUUUUUAUUAGUUUUUAAAAACCCCUCCCGACAUCCUUUCGACAUAUCCGAUGUGACACCCAAAAAAUUUUCAUCUCCAAUCUAAACAGGGCCUUAUAUUACAUUUGUGAUUUCUGAUGAACAGGGCAUGGUCGCAUGGAAUAGAAACAUUUAUCACCGGCAUUAUACAUGCAGGACCUGAUGUCAGACAGCAUGCAAAUAAUACAAAUCAACAUUCCUUCAUCCCCCUAACCAAACCAAAUAAAACACAAAUAUAUAUCUAUAUUCUGAGCUGACCAACUGCAUGCCUCUCUAUCUAAAAAAACUCUAUUCCUACCUUCGUGAUCUCAUCUUUCUCAGCCUUCUCUGUAGCGCCUACAAUCGAGAUAGUAAGCUGAUCACUGCAAGAAGAAAGACAAAUUAGUCUUAGUUCAAACAAAUGUGAAUGAAUGUCAUUGAAAUGUGUGGUUACUCAAGCUGACACUCUGCAAAACAUUAUAAAAUAUAAGCUGCUGCUUUUCAUCACAGCUUAUGUAAGAACUGAUUGCAUUUCAGCACAGGUUAGCUAUUUACAACAUUACAAGAUAGUAAAUUAGGGCCAUACACUAGCUAUUGACAACUAUUGAUGAGUUAGCUACUGACGAAAACAACUGUUCAGUAAUUUCAAGAGAUCAAAGGGGACACUUUUUUCUAAUGAUUUCCAGUGUUAAUGGUAAUGGAAGCAGCUUCUUCAUUGAGAUAUAUACAUACCCUAGCGCCACAGUGACGAAGAUCUCCAGCGUGAGUCCCCGCGGGGCGCGGUGCAAAAUGCUAACCUGGCCCCUCACCCGCCCGGAUUUGCAGGGAUGAUUUGCGUAUCUAGCUACUCAAUUAAACAAAACAAAUAAUCACAGCUUCCACUUAAAGAAACAAAUAAUCACAGCUUUCUUUCCCCUAAUAAUGCUGAAAUCUUCUAAAAAAAAUAAUGCUGAUAUCCAUGUGUAGUAUCCGUAUGAUUUUUCUGGCAUGCAUGUAGGAUUCGUACAAACCUUCGAUUUGGACUGAAAGUUAUGCCCUGUUUCUAGUGACGAUCUAAAUUAAUGUUUAGGUGUGGCUUUAAAAAUUGCUACUACAACAUCGAAUAUACAAAUAAGAUAUAUUUAGAGACGACUUUGUUAAGUCAGUCACUUUGAAAAUUGAUUUUUACGGUUGUCCAAAAGUGAUUUUAAUAUUUGAAAAUCAUUCUAAAAUAAAACAUUUUCAUAUGCCAUGAUAAAAUUGCAGCUAUCGCAAGAUUUAAUUUUCAACAUCUGUCAUAAGUAUGUCCAUAAGAAUUAGAUCCAUUACAUCCACCGCACAUACAUUUUCUUUAUCGCCAAUACCACAAUUAAAAAUUUAUUACUUAUAAAACUAAGGAUAAGGUAUUGUCCUUUUGUAUUAACAUAUACAUACCAUUUUUUGGCUCUAAAUAAUCUCAAAUGGAGAACUUUUCAUCUACAAAGUUUUAGGUCACGUUGAACACUACAACUAUGAUAUAGGGUUUGUCUUCAUCCGAGAUCAAUUGGAAAAAUAAAAAAUAACAUUUCAAAACCUAAGAAAUCAUAUUUCUAGAUGUGAUUCUCUUGAGCUGAUUGCUCCUGAAAAUGGAUAUUUCUCUGUAAACGGUUUCCUUAUAGAAUCAUUUUAAAAUAUAUUUCCAAGGACGUUUAACUAUAGUAUUUCUGGUACGGGUAUAUAUAACCAUGGUCGGUGUGAAAUAGAUCAAAUUUUCUCAAUUUCGACUAAGCUGGUAGAAAAUAUGUGUAAUAUUUAUAUCUUUAAAUAAGUUUAUUAGUGAUAUUACGAAUUAAGUAUUAUAAAUAUUAAUAUUCUUAUAUAUAUAUAUUUGGUUAAAAUUAAAAGUAUUUGACUUCUUGAGAAGUGAGAAUGAUAUUUAUUUUGGGAUAGAAGGGGCAGUAACCGAGGGCGUCUUAGAGUCCGUCCGUAAUAUGUAAUAAACAGAUAUAUCUAUAUCUGACAAUCAUAUUGUAAUAUUUUAUACUCCCUCUGUUCUCAAAUAUAGUAUAUUGUGACUUCUAAAAUUUGUGGUGAGCAAAUGAUGUCAUGACUAGAUUUGACAAAGUUUGUUGAAAAAAGAAACCAUAAUUUGAGAAUAAACACCCUAAUUAGGUUUAGGCCUUGAGAUUCAAAAAAAUUUUGGAUUUUAAUACUGUAUCACUUUUAUUUUUAUUUAACAAAUAUUGUCCAAUUAUGGAGUAACUAGACUUAAAAGAUUCGUCUCGCGAUUUACAAACUGUGCAAUUAGUUUUUGUUUUCAUCUAUAUUUGAUGCUCUAUGCAUGUGCUGCAAGAUUCGAUGUAACGGAGAAUCAUAUUUUUUUUGGGUUUUUGGUUGAACUAAACAACACCUUAAUCUAUGGACACAUACAUCAUUUGAGAAUUCCCUUAAGCUGUCUUUAAAUUUUUUGGAAUGCACUGUAGUAGUUAAGAACGGAGGGAGUAAGUUGCAGCAGAAAGUGGCCAAAACUAUCCAUGUUUAACCUAAUAAAUAACCAGUGCACAAUAUACUUGAACGUUGCAUUAGAAGGUGGCAACACUGGCCCAAAUUCUAUACAAGACGCGGCAAAGCCACCCUGUUACUGUAGUAUUUUUGCUGUAAAGCACCGCAUUAGCAGCUCAAAACCUUCAAGAGAGGAGAACCGACAACAAUUGUACAGGUUAAAUAUCCCCGGUGGCCGGCACAGAAGCUGCCCGUACAGGUUAGAUCCUAACGCGUUAUAACAGGAACGUACAAAAGUGCACAGUAUAUUUUGUCCUCGGUAAAGAUGGCAACUACCAGAGGCCAAAUAGGCGUGCGAUCAAAGACG
rnacentral:lncRNA from 1 species